UACAGGGGGGGCAAGCGUUGUUCGGAAUUACUGGGCGUAAAGGGCCAGUAGGCGGCCUGCUAAGUCCGACGUGAAAUCCCCAGGCUUAACCUGGGAACUGCGUCGGAUACUGGCGGGCUUGAAUUCGGGAGAGGGAUGCAGAAUUCCAGGUGUAGCGGUGAAAUGCGUAGAUAUCUGGAGGAACACCGGUGGCGAAGGCGGCAUCCUGGACCGGCAUUGACGCUGAGGCGCGAAAGCUAGGGGAGCAAACGGG
rnacentral:rRNA from 1 species